GGUGAUAAACCGGAGGAAGGUGGGGACGACGUCAAGUCAUCAUGGCCCUUACGGGAUGGGCUACACACGUGCUACAAUGGCGCAUACAAAGGGAAGCGAGCUAGCGAUAGUAAGCGGAUCUCAAAAAGUGCGUCGUAGUCCGGAUCGGAGUCUGCAACUCGACUCCGUGAAGUCGGAAUCGCUAGUAAUCGCGGAUCAGAAUGCCGCGGUGAAUACGUUCCCGGGCCUUGUACACACCGCCCGUCACACCAUGGGAGUGGGCUGCACCAGAAGUAGAUAGCUUAACCUUCGGGAGGGCGUUUACCACGGUGUGGUUCAUGACUGGGGUGAAGUCGUAACAAGGUAGCCGUAGGGGAACCUGCGGCUGGAUCACCUCCUUAUGAAAAAGC
rnacentral:rRNA from 2 species